GGGUUAAAAAAAUGAUUCUGUUCAAUCCCAUUUCACACCUUGGCCCUCCCCCUUCCCCCUACCCCUCCAUUUGCGCAUUCAUGUGAAGAGGUAGGGGUGUUCUGAUUCUCGAUGUGUUGGAGGGGUAGGGCUAAGAGGGAGGGCUGUUUGGCCCUCCAAACGGAGGUUUUUCCAAGACCACCCUACAAAUGGAGGG